UACGAAGGGGGGCUAGCGUUGUUCGGAAUUACUGGGCGUAAAGCGCACGUAGGCGGAUUGUUAAGUCGGGGGUGAAAUCCUGAGGCUCAACCUCAGAACUGCCUUCGAUACUGGCGAUCUUGAGUUCGGAAGAGGUUGGUGGAACAGCUAGUGUAGAGGUGAAAUUCGUAGAUAUUAGCUAGAACACCAGUGGCGAAGGCGGCCAACUGGUCCGACACUGACGCUGAGGUGCGAAAGCGUGGGGGAGCAAACAGG
rnacentral:rRNA from 1 species